CUGUGGAUAGGGGUGAAAGGCUAAACAAAUCUGGAGAUAGCUGGUUCUCCCCGAAAACUAUUGAGGUAGUGCCUCGUGUAUGGCUCCAGGGGGUAGAGCACUGUUAUGGCUAGGGGGACAUGGCGUCUUACCAAACCAUGGCAAACUCCGAAUACUUGGAAGUCGAAGCACGGGAGACAGAGCACCGGGUGCUAACGUCCGGACUCAAAAGGGAAACAACCCAGACCGCCGGCUAAGGUCCCUAAUAUGAACUGAGUGGAAAACGAAGUGGGAAGGCUAAGACAGUCAGGAAGUUGGCUUAGAAGCAGCCAUCCUUCAAAGAAAGCGUAAUAGCUCACUGAUCGAGUCUUCCUGCGCGGAAGAUGUAACGGGGCUAAGUUCAUAACCGAAGCCGCGGAUUCACACGCAAGUGUGAGUGGUAGGGGAGCGUUCUGUAAGCCUGCGAAGGUGACUCGCAAGGGUUGCUGGAGGUAUCAGAAGUGCGAAUGCUGACAUGAGUAACGUUAAAGCGGGUGAAAAGCCCGCUCGCCGUAAGCCCAAGGUUUCCUGCUCUACGUUCAUCGGAGCAGGGUGAGUCGGCCCCUAAGGCGAGGCUGAGAAGCGUAGCUGAUGGGAACAAGGUUAAUAUUCCUUGACCGCCGUUGAGUGCGAAGGGGGGACGGAGUGUUGAAGAUCAUCCGGGUGUUGGAUGUCCCGGUUUCCGCGCGUAGGAGGUCUGCAGGCAAAUCCGCAGACGAAUCUCCGAGGCAAAGGAUCGAGUCCCAUUGGGGACGAAGUGAUUGGAUGGACUUCCAGGAAAAGCCUCUAAGCUCCAGCUCAACGGGACCGUACCGCAAACCGACACUGGUGGGCGAGCUGAAUAUGCUCAGGCGCUUGAGAGAACUCAGGAGAAGGAACUCGGCAAAUUGACACCGUAACUUCGGGAUAAGGUGUGCCUUGGUAGCGUGGAGGGAGAAACACCCCGAGCGUGAAGAGGUCUCAGAGAAUCGGUGGCUGCGACUGUUUACUAAAAACACAGCACUCUGCAAAGACGAAAGUCGACGUAUAGGGUGUGAUGCCUGCCCGGUGCUGGAAGAUUAAUUGAUGGGGUGCAAGCUCCUGAUCGAAGUCCCAGUAAACGGCGGCCGUAACUAUAACGGUCCUAAGGUAGCGAAAUUCCUUGUCGGGCAAGUUCCGACCUGCACGAAUGGCAUAACGAUGGCCACACUGUCUCCUCCUGAGACUCAGUGAAGUUGAAGUGUUUGUGAUGAUGCAAUCUCCCCGCGGCUAGACGGAAAGACCCCAUGAACCUUUACUG
rnacentral:rRNA from 1 species